AGUGAACGCUGGCGGUAGGCCUAACACAUGCAAGUCGAACGGCAGCACAGUAAGAGCUUGCUCUUACGGGUGGCGAGUGGCGGACGGGUGAGGAAUACAUCGGAAUCUACUUUUUCGUGGGGGAUAACGUAGGGAAACUUACGCUAAUACCGCAUACGACCUACGGGUGAAAGCAGGGGAUCUUCGGACCUUGCGCGAUUGAAUGAGCCGAUGUCGGAUUAGCUAGUUGGCGGGGUAAAGGCCCACCAAGGCGACGAUCCGUAGCUGGUCUGAGAGGAUGAUCAGCCACACGGGAACUGAGACACGGUCCAGACUCCUACGGGAGGCAGCAGUGGGGAAUAUUGGACAAUGGGCGCAAGCCUGAUCCAGCCAUACCGCGUGAGUGAAGAAGGCCUUCGGGUUGUAAAGCCCUUUUGUUGGGAAAGAAAAGCAGCAGGUUAAUACCCCGCUGUUCUGACGGUACCCAAAGAAUAAGCACCGGCUAACUUCGUG
rnacentral:rRNA from 1 species